AUUGAACGCUGGCGGCAGGCCUAACACAUGCAAGUCGAACGAGUGGCGGACGGGUGAGUAAUGUCUGGGAAACUGCCCGAUGGAGGGGGAUAACUACUGGAAACAGUAGCUAAUACCGCAUACCAUCGGAUGUGCCCAGAUGGGAUUAGCUAGUAGGUGGGGUAACGGCUCACCUAGGCGACGAUCCCUAGCUGGUGUGAGAGGAUGACCAGACACACUGGAAAUGAGACACGGGCAAGACUAAUACGGGAGGCAGCAGGGGGGAAUAUGGGACAAGGGGCGAAAGCCUGAUGCAGCCAGGCCGCGUGUAGGAAGAAGGCCUUCGGGUUGUAAAGUACGUUCAGCGAGGAGGCGUUACUCGCAGAAGAAGCACCGGCUAACUCCGUGCCAGCAGCCGCGGUAAUAC
rnacentral:rRNA from 1 species